GCUUGCACUGGUCAAUCUAGUGGCGAACGGGUGAGUAACACGUGGGUAACCUGCCCAUCAGAGGGGGAUAACAUUCGGAAACGGAUGCUAAAACCGCAUAGGUCCUUUAACCGCAUGGUUGAAGGAGGAAAAGAGGCGCAAGCUUCUGCUGAUGGAUGGACCCGCGGUGCAUUAGCUAGUUGGUGAGAUAACGGCUCACCAAGGCCGUGAUGCAUAGCCGACCUGAGAGGGUGAUCGGCCACAUUGGGACUGAGACACGGCCCAAACUCCUACGGGAGGCAGCAGUAGGGAAUCUUCCGCAAUGGACGCAAGUCUGACGGAGCAACGCCGCGUGAGUGAAGAAGGUUUUCGGACCGUAAAACUCUGUUGUUAGAGAAGAACAAGUGCUAGAGUAACUGUUAGCGCCUUGACGGUAUCUAACCAGAAAGCCACGGCUAACUACGUGCCAGCAGCCGCGGUAAUACGUAGGUGGCAAGCGUUGUCCGGAUUUAUUGGGCGUAAAGCGAGCGCAGGCGGUUCCUUAAGUCUGAUGUGAAAGCCCCCGGCUCAACCGGGGAGGGUCAUUGGAAACUGGGGAACUUGAGUGCAGAAGAGGAGAGUGGAAUUCCAUGUGUAGCGGUGAAAUGCGUAGAUAUAUGGAGGAACACCAGUGGCGAAGGCGACUCUCUGGUCUGU
rnacentral:rRNA from 1 species